UACAGAGGUCCCGAGCGUUGUUCGGAUUCACUGGGCGUAAAGGGUGCGCAGGUGGCUUGGCAAGUUUGAUGUGAAAGCUCAGGGCUUAACCCUGAAAUGGCAUUGAAUACUGUUGAGCUGGAGGUUUGGAGGGGGGACUGGAAUUCUUGGUGUAGCAGUGAAAUGCGUAGAUAUCAAGAGGAACACCAGUGGCGAAGGCGAGUCCCUGGACAACACCCGACACUGAGGCACGAAAGCUAGGGGAGCAAACAGG
rnacentral:rRNA from 1 species